GGUGGGAUUCUCAUGCCAGGUUAUAUAAAUACCACUGGGCAGUCUAAAGAGAGCUCCUGAAAUCAGAUGCCCAUUCCUAGUCCAAUCACCUGUGACUAUAGUGGCGGAAUCACAAGGUACAAAGGAUGGAGAGGAGACCAUGCGUCUGGCAGGAACUCCGAGGGACCCCAGUGGGGAGUGGUGUGCCUAGUAGGCAUCUGUCCAUUACAACCAUCAAUAGUGUAGUGUACACACUGAUUGGACUUGCAUGGCUUCAAAUGAAGAAAAAUUUUCUUAUAAUGAGCAAAAGCAGUGGUUUUCAAACUGUGCUUGGCAAAAUGUCUUGAGUUCUGCCCAAAGAAGAGACUUAGUAGGUAAGACUCUGACUUCCUUGUUCCCUUUUCAUCUAGAGCACUUUCAUAUUAUUCAGUUUCAUAUAUGGGUUUUUUAAAAAUAAAAUUUCACUUGAAGUUAACAUGCUACUGUUCAAAAGUAGUUUGAGAGCCAUUGAGUUGUAGGAACACAAAAAACUUUUGUUUGGCUAAUUUUUUUAAGUGGUAAGGCUUUAUUUUAAAAGGUUAGUAGUUAAUACACACAAUAAAAUAAAAAGUCACUUAAUAUAUUUUACACAAUUUUUUGUAAAACAAAAAAAGGGUAGGGUAGAUAGGAAAAUUGAAAUUGGUUAUUUCACAACAUUAUAUUCUUAAUCACAAUUGUUUUUGUGUCUUGGAUGUUAUUAAUGAAAAUUGUUUAAUUGUGAUUUUCACUAUAUGUUUGAGGCUAAAUGUGGUGGCUCACACCUGUAAUCCCACCACUUUGAGAGGCCAAAGUAAGAGGAUCACUUAAGGUUAGGAGUUUGAGACCAGCCUGGGCAACAUAGUGAAAUCCCAUCCCUACAAAAAUAAAAUAAAAUAAUUUUACAAUUAGCCAGAUGUGUUGGUGCACAUCUGUAGUCCCAGCUACUUAGGAGGCUAAGGCAGGAGGAUUGCUUGAGCUCAGGAAUUCAAGGCUGCAGUGAGCUGUGAUUAUGCUACCCUACUCCAACCUGGAUAACAAAGUAAGAUCCUGCCUCUAGAAAAUAAAACAGAAAAAUUUCAUGUCUUUAUCAGAACAAUUAACUUUAGCAUUAAAGAAAAAAAAGAAAAGAAGUGUGUGGUCAGUAGGAUGAACAUUUUUAUAGCAAUGAUCAGAUUAUACAUUCUUAAGGGUUAAGAUACAUGUUAUUAGUGCUGUUAUGUUUUGUUUUGUUUACAGAUACAGAUUAUUAUUCUCACAUCAGAGUAAAAGUUAUAUUAAUCAGCUAUUUACAAUUAACGAAGAUGAUUGAGAUGUGUCAAGCAAUUACAUACAUUACUUAAAUGUUAAGUCAGUGCAUACUUGUAUUUUAAUAUAAUAAUCAUAUUCAGUAUGUUCAGUCAUCCGCCAAAAACAGUUUUUAAAAACUGAAGAUAUCUCGAUCAUAUUUAUGAAUUUGAGUUACUUUUAUAAUUGAGAAAACAUAUCCUUAUUCUAUCACUUGAGGCAUUCCAAUAUCUAUCACUUACUUAAAAGGUGAUUCAUCCAAUAAAAAUGUCAAGCCAUUGUCACUUGCUGGCAUAGAAAAUAAAACUAUCUGAAACUCCUAGGCAUUCCACUCCUUAGGCUAAGGAAAGAUACUUCACCCGCCCACUCCAAUCCUUGACCUCAGAAUGCCCCCAAAACGCCCUCCUUAAUCAAUACAAGAACCUUUGCCUCCUCUCAGAAACUCAGUGUAUCUAUGGCUUAAGCAGAAAAUUAUUCAAUUCGUUCUAUUUUCAUAGAAAACUUGUUAGGAUAAAUGUGUAAAAAGUUGCAGCUCCUCAUCUGGCAGAGCAUCCAGGUGUGUACACCAUUGUCCUUCAUCAGUAGUGGCUGGAAUUGUUCCAGAUAAUUCUCACUGUUGACACCACAGAGCACAAAAUGGAAAGGGGAGAAAGGUUGGAAGGAGCAACAUGGGUAGGAAAGGGUUUUCUCCAUGGAUCAUUUCCAGUUUUAUCCUGCAUCUUGAUUGUGCUGACACUAUUGUCAUGUUUUACUUCUUUUUUUUUUUUUUGAGAAGGAGUCUCACUCUGCUGCCAGGCUGUAGUGCAACUCUAUCUCAAAAAGAUAUAUACAUGCAUAUACAUGUUUUCACAUAUAUUUUCAAUCUAUUUUUCUUCUUUCCUAAUCCACAGAACAGAGCUCACACUAUAUAUACCCCUUCACUCAUUUUUUAACUUAUUACCAAAUAUUGAGAAUCAUUUCAUAUACAUACAUUACAGUAUCUUUUAGGAACCAGUAUUUGCACCGAUGGAUUUAACUUUAUUUCACCAAUCUCUACUGAUAGGAAUUGGUCAUUUAGUUUGUUGCCAUUACAAAUAAUGCUUUAAUUAAUGAGUUUGGUGUCCAUGUCCAUAGAUCUAGGUGAACUUCCAUCACUAUAUUCCUAUAGUAAAUUUCAUACAAUGGGCUUGCUCCUUCAAAGGAUAUAUGCAAUUAAGAUUUUUAUUC
rnacentral:lncRNA from 10 species